UUGGACCUGAUAUCAGGCAAGAUUACCCGCUGAACUUAAGCAUAUCAA
rnacentral:rRNA from 2 species